rnacentral:rRNA from 1 species
AGAGUUUGAUCAUGGCUCAGAAUGAACGCUUGCGGCGUGCUUUACACAUGCAAGUCGAGCGAGGCGUGUAGCAAUACACAGUCGAGCGGCGAACGGGUGAGUAACGCGUGGAUGACCUGCCCUUUAGUUGGGAAUAACCCGGGGAAACUCGGGCUAAUACCGAAUAAGACCGAGAGGUGAAAGCGGGGUCGAAAGAUCUCGUGCUGAAGGAGGGGUCCGCGUCCGAUUAGCUAGUUGGUAGGGUAAUGGCCUACCAAGGCGACGAUCGGUAGCCGGCCUGAGAGGGCGGUCGGCCACACUG